rnacentral:lncRNA from 1 species
AGGGAGACGAGCGCGCUGCUGAGGAAGAAGCCGAGCGAGAGCGUGGUGAGGAAGAGGCCGGUGCUCAUGGUCUUCAUGCCCUUGGGCGACCGGGUGAUGAAGAAGUCCAGCUGCCCCGUAUAGAUGAACGCCUCGCCGGCGCCCACCAGCAGGAACUGCGGCGUCAGCAUGAACACGCUGAUGGGCAGUGACUCGUGUUGCCCCGCAGCGGUGGCGGCGACGGCGAGGCGCUUCUUCUCGCAGAUGGCAGCAGCGGCCAUGCCGGCGAUGGAGAGGACCAGGCCCAUGCCGAUCUUCUCCAGGUUGGUGAGCCCCUGCCGGCCGGUCAUGAGGCUCCGGCAGAGCGGGACGA